GCCUGGUGCUUUAAAGCAGGCACCUUGGAGACACAAUGCCAGAAGUCAAGUCAAUAUUUAGAGAAGUUCUGCCCAAACAAGGGCAGCUCUCAAUGGAAGAUGUCCCUACCAUGGUUCUGUGCAAGCCAAAGCUGCUCCCACUCAAAUCAGUCACACUCGAGAAGCUGGAGAAGAUGCAGAUGGAGGCUCAAGAGGCCGUCAAACAACAGGAACUGGCAAUGAAGGAGCAAUCUUAAUAGAUGCACAAUGUAGAAUAUGCAACGGCAGCAGAGGGAGGAAUGGUAGAAGAAUUCUAUUAAAUGGAGUGCAGUGUUUUUCACGUAAUAGUAUAUGUUAGUAUUUAGUAUUUAAGUGCAGCAAAAUGCAACGCAAUUUAAGAUUAACCAGCUCUUGUUUCUGUACAUGGGUUAUGUUAAAUGAUUGACCGUAGUUCACAAAGAUUUUUCAGUGUGGUUGGUCUUGUGUACUUCUCCAGAUUUUUCAGUUGUACCCUUGCUCCUGUAAAGGUCAACAACAAAAUGUUUACUGCUUCUUUGCUGAGCAAAUGUGGAGUGGAGCUAAUAUGUUAAGUCAAGAGUUGCUACAUUUAGUUGGUUAAAAUUGUGACAUUCACAAAAACAGUCUUGGAAUAUUUUAAUAGUGGUUUAAUGAACAAAUAAGAGGCAAUACCAGGUACAUUACACAAACCAGUAUUGUCAAGAUAUAAAAAUAAACACUCUGAACACCA